UAAUUUGUUAAUACUUAAUACAACUUGGAGAGAAAACAAAAUUGUGCCGACAAAUUAAAAGAAAAAGGAAAGGGAAAGUUGUUUCUCCUUUGAUUGCGAUCCAAAAAAUCUCUUGGCCGGCGGUUUCUGUGGCUCGCCGACUCAGUCCCCGAAUCUCAGUGGUUUGUCGUGGCUCCUUUAUCCAAUUUGGUUGACGGCUCUGAUGGAUCGGUAGUUGUGUCGGAGCUCUCCUCUUUUGGGGCUUGCUUCUGAGAUCUGGUUUUCCGAGGGUGCAUCAUUUUAUUUCCAGAUCUCCUCUUCCUCCCGGGCGUUUUGGUGUGGCCUCAGUUUGGAGAAAAGAUAUGAUUAUUGGAUAAGUCGUAUAUGGUUCUCCGCAUGAUCCAAGUUUGGCAAGUACAAACUGUUUGGAUACACAUGCAUGAUAUCCAAGAUCCGAAUGAUGUAAUCCCUAAACAUUUAGGGUCCGCGUGUUUUGAUCUCUUUAGUUUACCACUUUGCCCUCUCUUUUUUUUUCAUUCUUCUUCGUUUCUUUAAUUCGUAGGGGUAAUUCAUGAAAUUCUGUUUUGUUUAUUUUUUUUUAUUCCUAAGUGUGUUUCCCAAUUAAUAGUAUAGACUAGAUUUAGACCCGCAUGUACGUGCGAAAUUAUUUUCAAAAACUAAGUUUACUGUUUAGUGAAACUGUAAUUUUAAAGAAUAAUACUGUAAUUAUUUUUUAUAAUUUGUUUAUGGAUAAUAAAGACGAGAAGAAAAUGUGUCGUAAA